rnacentral:lncRNA from 1 species
GCCCCAUAACACAAUCAACAAAUUGUUGACGAAAACCAAAGACAAGAUUGAAAAGGAGCAACAACACAAUGUAGUGUACCAAAUAAAGUGCAAGGGCAAUGAUAACAAAAGCUGCAAUAAAUGCUAAGUAGGCACAACAAAAAGAGCGUUGGGUAUAAGAAUCAAUGAACACAGAGCGGACGCGAGAAACAAAAAGAUGACAACAGCACUGGCUCAACACUUAACAACGCACGAACAUAUAGCGGACUUCGGCAACACAGAAAUUUUGGACAUCGAAAGGGGAGAAAGAAGGAGAAUGACACUGGAGAGCCUACGAAUACAACAACAAUUGGACAACGCAAUCAACUUUAAAGAAGACGUCGACAACACGAAGAACACAUAUGCAUCCGUACUAAAAUUAAAAUAUAAAUAAGAAUACUUCAAUAAUUCUUCCUAAAUGUUGUAUUACCUUCAAUGUGUGCAAAUCAAUGUAAAAUUCUUGUCAAUAUUUAGUACCCCCUGAAGAUGACACGAGAGUGUCGAAACGCGUAGGAGGGACAAGGGAAAAAUAUAAGCAUUUCGCCUUUUACUCCAUCGGCCGAAGCAGCUCCAACCCAACAAACAAAAUUCAUAGGAAUUUGGCCCAUACAAAGAUAAUUAUUACCAUCGGUGAGCAAACCCGAGAAAACAACUAAAAAGACUCCCUGAAGAUGACACGAGAGUGUCGAAACGCGUAGGAGGGACAAGGGAAAAAUAUAAGCAUUUCGCCUUUUACUCCAUCGGCCGAAGCAGCUCCAACCCAGCAAACAAAAUUCAUUGGAA